ACCAAGGAGCUUUCUGCCGGGAGACAGAGAGAGGAUUUAGCUGCUUUAUGCAGAGCGGAUCUGAAUACUUCAAGUCUAUUUUGUUACUGCAUGAGCAGAUCAGGAGUGUUCUGAUGCCAUAAACAACAACUGAAGUGAGCAACAGAGACAGACAACAACAGACAGACAGAGGAGGGGAGAGCAACAACAGAGACAGACAGAGGAGGGGAGAGCAACAACAGACAGACAGUGAAGGAGAGCAACAGAGACAGACAAUUAAGAAGAGCAACAACAGACAGACAGUGGAGGGGAGAGCAACAACAGACAGACAAUGAAGGAGAGCAACAGAGACAGAUAAUGAAGAAGAGCAACAACGGACAGACAGAGGAGGGGAGAGCAACAACAGACAGACAAUGAAGGAGAGCAACAACAGAGACAGACAAUGAAGGAGAGCAACAACAGACAGACAAUAAAGGAGAGCAACAACAGACAGACAGAGGAGGGGAGAGCAACAACAGAGACAGACAAUGAAGGAGAGCAACAGAGACAGGCAAUGGAAAAGAGAAACAACAGACAACUGAGGGUGUGUUCUGAGUGUUUGCCCUUAGCAGUUUACAAGAGACAGAAAAACAGGUUCUGAAUGUUCUGGGGGAUGCCUUUUGCAUUUUUCAAAGACAGAAAACCUGUUGGUACAGUUAAACGCAGCUAAUCUUUAUUCUCCGCUUUGACCUUUCCAAAAUGGCGGCGAGGAUGACGUAUGAUUCUACGCGGAAGGCGGCGUCUUCAAUGGUCCGGAAUAAAGUGAAUGAUACACGUUGAUGGAAUUAAUUUGUUGUUUCUCACAUGUGAAAGGUAAUCCCAUAUGAUCUCGUUUGGACGGUAAACCUGUUGGUACAGUUAAACGCAGCUAAUCCUUAUUCUCUGCUUUGACCUCUCCAAUAUGGCGGCGAGGAUGACGUAUGAUUCUACGCAGAAGGUGGCAUCUUUAAUGGUCCGGAAUAAAUUGGAUUAAUUUGCUCCUCUACGCCCUUUUUAAGGAAUGUAUUGUCGGACUUAAAUCAACAUCUGAAGAGUGCUCUGUAAGGCUUUUUCCUGGGGAUAUUCAUUACACUUCUACCCGGCGUGAAGCACUCACAGUCAUGUGGUUGUGACGUCAUCGUAAACAAAUCCGUUCUACUCAUCCAGACGACUUCACAACGGCAACGUUGCCAGAUCUUUCCACUCUGGAACCCGUUCUCAAAAAGAUUGCGUUUUGGGCACCCAAAACGCCGGUGCCGUGUGGACGCCAGGCCUAAACGAUAAGCAAUUGUAUCGGAGUCACCUGAAUCCGUUGCCGUGUGGACAGGGCCUUUGUUUCUAACCCUAACCAGACUUCACAAUGUCACAACCAAGGCAACCAAGAAGGAUCAGUUCUAACCCUAACCCCAAAUCCUGGAUCUAACCCCAACCUGAGCUCACCCCUAAUCCAACCCCUAGCCUUAGCCCCUAGCCCAAAACCUAGCCUCAAAUAAUAAUGGAAUAAUAACCCAAAUAUAACAUGGGGGUACUGACCAGGCACUUGUGGAGCAUUGAGGAUGGGGCUUGGGAAGGACAGUGCACAACACGGCCUUGGCCUAGGCCAGGACGUGGAUCUUUCCAGAAACCCUAACCCUAACCCAAGUAUGUGAUUGAGCAGGACAGUUCAGACACAGAGGCCACAUCAGAUGAGAAGGAAGACACAAUGCACAUCAACCCCCCUUGUAAUAAAAAAACAAAAAGUUGCAGAUGUGGGCAUAACACCUGGAUCCACAGAGAAGGCGAAAGAUGGCACUGUGUGGUUCCACCACAAAGUUGGAGAUUUUUCUGUUCAUGAAACUCCACAGACAGCAUUCAAUGGAUCUGGAGGGCCAACAGAGUUUGCAACACGCAAAAUCAUGAGUUGCCUUCAAAGCUUCCUGUAUUUGUUGGAUAUCAGCAUGUUGUUGGCCAUCAGAGACUGCACAGUCCAGGAGGGCCAUAGAACAAAUCCCAGCUGGCAGAUGAGUGUCUUCGAGCUGAUGGCGUUCCUCGCAAUCCUUUUUCGAAGGGCUGCCAAGGGCUACAUUGGUGCCAUGCGACUCAUGUGGGCCAAUAGAUUCGGCACCCCAGAUAUCAAAGCCAUAAUGCCCCUUAACCGCUUUCUUGAAAUAAAGCGGUACCUUCGCUUCGACAACAAGGACACCCGCAAGGAGCGCAUACAAACGGACAAAUUUGCAGCAAUUUCAGACAUCUGGCAGGAGUUUGUUCAGAAUUGUGUGUCGUCCUACAGUCCAGGGCAACAUGUUACCAUGCAUGAGCAGUUAUUUCCUUCAAAGGUUCGUUGUCCCUUUCUGCAGUACAUUGCAUCCAACCCUGACAAGUUUGGAAUCAAGUUUUGGAUUGCAGCAGAUCUGGACACAAAAUACAUGUGUAAUGCCAUCCCUUACUUGGGAAAAGAUCCCACUCGUCCAAUGGGAGAGAGGCUAUCAGAGAAUGUUGUUUUGAAAUUGAUGGAACCAUUUACCGUAUGGACCAGGGAAGGACUGUAACUAUGGAUAAUUUCUUCACCUCUCUGUCUUUGGCUAACAGGCUUCUUCAACGAAAAACAACUCUGCUUGGCACUAUCAACAAAAAUCGUCAGGAGCUACCAGCAACUGCAAAGGAAACCUCGGGGUGCCAGUUGUACUCCACACAGGUGUUCACAUCUGGAAGUGCCUUGCUGAUGGUGUUUGCAAAAAAUAAAAAAUAAAUCUGUUUGUCUUCUGAGCACCAUGUAUCAGAAAGUGGAAAUUGUGGACACCCAAAAACAAAAAACAAACACUGUUGUUGAUUACAACCAUUUCAAAUGCAGCAUUGAUAUCAUGGACCAGAAAUUACGCAACUACUUGGUGCGUGCAGGAACACGGAGAUGGCCCAUGGCUGUGUUUUACAACCUGCUUGACAUGGCUGUCACAAAUGCUCAUGUCUUGUACACAGCAUGUACAGGAUCCAAAGAAAGUCCCCAAUUGUUCAUGCUGGAGCUUGCAGAGGAACUUCAAAACAGGCUUUUGCAGGAAAAGGCACAAGGGGAAGAACACAAACAGCAGCGUGAGAUGAAAGUUUCUCAGAAGAAAAAGACAGUGCCAGGUGCACAUACUCUGCAAUAAUAACAGAAGCACUGAACUUUGUGUACGCUGCCACAAAUACACCUGUGGCAAAUGUACCAUAGGAAAGACUCACCAUAGGAAUGUGGAAACUACUAGAUGGGACAAUUGUAUGCUACAUUUCUGUGCUUUGUAUAGCCUCCAUGUGUAGUGAGCCUGCUUUUCUUAGUGUGAAAUAAAUGUUUAUUUUCUUCCUGAA